UACGUAGGUGGCAAGCGUUAUCCGGAUUCACUGGGCGUAAAGAGCGCGUAGGUGGUCCUUCAAGUCAGAUGUUAAAUCUCCCGGCUUAACUGGGAGCUGUCAUUUGAUACUGCUGGACUCGAGGAUGGUAGAGGGAGGUGGAAUUCCCGGUGUAGUGGUGAAAUGCGUAGAUAUCGGGAGGAACACCAGUGGCGAAAGCGGCCUCCUGGGCCAUUCCUGACACUGAGGCGCGAAAGCGUGGGGAGCGAACAGG
rnacentral:rRNA from 1 species